UGGGGAGCAAACAGGAUUAGAUACCCUGGUAGUCCACGCCGUAAACGAUGAUAACUAGCUGUCGGGGCUCUUAGAGCUUCGGUGGCGCAGCUGACGCAUAAAGUUAUCCACCUGGGGAGCACGGCCGCAAGGUUAAAACUCAAAUGAAUUGAAGGGGGCCUGCACAAGCGGUGGAGCAUGUGGUUUAAUUUGAAGCAACGCGCAGAACCUUACCAGCGCUUGACAUAUCCGGACGAUUUCGGGAGACCGAUCUCUUCCUUUCGGGGACUGGAACACAGGUCAAGCAUGGCAGUCGUCAGCUCGUGUCGUGAGAUGUUGGGUUAAGUCCCGCAACGAGCGCAACCCUCGCCCUUAGUUUCCGUCAUUUAGUUGGGCACUCUAAGGAAACCACCAGUGAUAAACCGGAGGAAGGUGGGAAUGACGUCAAGUCCUCAUGGCCCUUACGCGCUGGGCUACACACGUGCUACAAUGGCGGUGACAGUGGGCAGCAAUCUCGCAAGGGUGAGCUAAUCUCCAAAAGCCGUCUCAGUUCGGAUUGUUCUCUGCAACUC
rnacentral:rRNA from 1 species